rnacentral:misc_RNA from 1 species
UCAAAUGCAAACUAAAAUUGAAAUCAUUUACUGAAAUCAAAACCGUCGACAAAUCAAAUCAAAACCAAAUUGAUUAGGCCAAAACUUGAGCUAUAGCCUAUCGGAUCAACCAUGUCCGGUCUAAGAUCCCCUCCCCCAAACUGAACCGGUGGUUCCUUCCCGGACCGGACCGCCGUCCAUGUUUAUCCUGCUGUCCGUGAAGACAGCUUACAGAGUCAUCAAAAACCCAAAACCUUCGUCUCAUACUACUCGGAGAAAUAGAGAUGUUAAGGCACAUCCUCAGAGCCGCACUGAGGAAGCCCCAGAUACAUCCUCCAUGGAACCCAAAAUCCAACUCUACGGUUCCUUCUAUUUCGGCAUUCGAUCAUAAUCACUUCUGUUACUUCUCUUCCAAAUCCAACCUUGCCAAAGCUAAGAAAACUGACCCAAAAUCCAAGAAGAAAUCCACCAAUGAAGCCACUGCCGACUCAUCUGCCACCGACGUUGUUGACGCCGCCUUCUUUGAUGAUGGGGCCAAACGCGUCCGCCACCUCAUGGAAGACGAGAAGGACCCUUCUCUCGAUGUGGGUCCUAAUGGUCGACCUCUGUUCACUUCCACCCCCUCGCUCUCUCAGCUCACUCGCAAGGACACCUGCACCUACUUCAAAUUCAGCGAGGAGGGAUUGAAUGGGGCCUUGCCUGAGGGCUUGCCAAAGGGGAUGGCAAAGGAGUUCGAGGAUUCAAUGCGGAGAGCUGUGUUAGUUAGACAGAGCUUUUUGGAUCUUCGCGACAAUUUUAGACGCAUUGUUGAUACUCAUCCGCUUUCCUCUGGUGGUAAAGAUCCAAAAGUGAGAAAGCAAAUUGUAUUGGAUGGCCCUGUUAGCUGUGGGAAGAGUAUUACACUUGCAAUGCUUGUUCACUGGGCUCGUGAUGAGGGUUGGCUAGUGUUUUAUGUCCCUAGAGGGCGGGAAUGGACUCAUGGUGGAUUUUUCUAUAAACACCCAGAAACUGGCCUUUGGGACACACCUGUUCAGGCUGAAAAUAUUCUUAAGGAUUUUCUGAAAUACAAUGAUCCCAUUUUGAAGAAAUUACCAUGCCAUAUAUUUGAUCCUGUUCCACUGGGAGAGGGUGCUGGUGUUGGGUGGAUGAAGGGAGUUGACUCCAUGGCAGUUCCUGAAGGUUCAACUUUAUAUGACUUAAUUCAAAUUGGAAUCAAGCACACACAUGCAGCUGUUGGAGUGGUAGUUCGUUUGAGGAAAGAGUUAUCACUUGUGAAAGAUAUACCUGUGCUCAUUGCAAUUGAUCAAUAUAAUAACUGGUUUACAUUCAGUGAGUAUGAAGAACCCGUAACUAUUCGUUCUUGUCGACCAAUACAUGCUAGGGAACUUGCAACGGUAAAUGCUUUUAGGUCCAUGAUGCAUAAUGACAUGAUGGUGGGUGCUUUUUCUCAUUCAACAGCAGUUGGAAAGCUGCGUAAAGACCUGCCUGAUGUUCCUGUAGAUGCACGUGUCAAUUUGGCCCGCUAUGAUUUGAAUGAAGCGGCUGCAGUUUGUCAUUACUACCUUAGGCAAAGACUAAUACGUCGUGAGGCAUUUUCAGAGGAAAACUGGAAGAAAGUAUAUUACUUAUCCAAUGGAAAUGGAGCAGAAAUAAGGUCCUUAGUUUCUUUGAUGCAGUGAUAUAUAAGAUACUGCUUUUAGCAAUAAUAUAUUUGAAGACAUCUUUUUGGGAUUAUUCCCUCUUCAUUCUUACGGCUAUCGUCUCUAAGCACUUAACAUUCAUUCCUUUUUGUUGGAGUCGAUGCUCAAGCAGCAAAAUGCAGUUUUCCUCUUUUUGAAACCCUAUUGUGAUAAAUCCAGUGGGUUAGCAAUAGAAGUCUUAAAUUUUUGUGGCUUAUUAAUUUACUUGAUCCAGAUUAUUCUUAUAGCCUGAGUAGGGAUGAGCACUACUUGGUUUGAGCUGAAAUUUUGAGCUGAACUGCCUCAAUUCGAAAAUUCAGUUAGGUUUAUUUGGUAAUUUUAUUUGGUUUAGUUUGAAAAAUGUGAAAUUUUGGUUUGGCUUUUGGAGGAAAUUUAAAAAAAAAUCCUGAAUUGUAUAGAAAUUCUUCAAAAUGCGCAAUUUGUAAUUAAAAAAUUACUGUGUCUCCUAAUUUACAAAUAAGCCCAAAAAGAAACUCAAAAAUCAUGUUACAACCUGAUGAAUUGAAUUGAAUCAGUUCAAAUUUACCCCUAUUCUGUUUUGUUAGGUUUGGUUUGGGCUCCUUUAAAUUUGGUUUAUUAGGUUUUGG